rnacentral:rRNA from 1 species
AGAGUUUGAUCCUGGCUCAGGACGAACGCUGACGGCGUGCCUAAUACAUGCAAGUCGAGCGAGCUUGCCUAGAUGAUUUUAGUGCUUGCACUAAAUGAAACUAGAUACAAGCGAGCGGCGGACGGGUGAGUAACACGUGGGUAACCUGCCCAAGAGACUGGGAUAACACCUGGAAACAGAUGCUAAUACCGGAUAACAACACUAGACGCAUGUCUAGAGUUUGAAAGAUGGUUCUGCUAUCACUCUUGGAUGGACCCUGCGGUGCAUUAGCUAGUUGGUAAGGUAACGGCUUACCAAGGCAAUGAUGCAUAGCCGAGUUGAGAGACUGAUCGGCCACAUUGGGACUGAGACACGGCCCAAACUCCUACGGGAGGCAGCAGUAGGGAAUCUUCCACAAUGGACGAAAGUCUGAUGGAGCAACGCCGCGUGAGUGAAGAAGGGUUUCGGCUCGUAAAGCUCUGUUGGUAGUGAAGAAAGAUAGAGGUAGUAACUGGCCUUUAUUUGACGGUAAUUACUUAGAAAGUCACGGCUAACUACGUGCCAGCAGCCGCGGUAAUACGUAGGUGGCAAGGCGUUGUCCGGAUUUAUUGGGCGUAAAGCGAGUGCAGGCGGUUCAAUUAAGUCUGAUGUGAAAAGCCUUCGGCUCUACCGGAGUAAUCGCAUUCCCAAACUGUUGAACCUUAAUGCAGAAAAGGAGAGUGGAAAUUCCCUGUGUACCGGUCGAAUGCCUAAAUAUAUGGAAAAAACCCCCUUGGCUAAAGCGGCUGUCUUGGUCUGCAACUCACCCUGAGGCUUCAAAAUCCGGGGUAGCGAACCGGAAUAAAUCCCCUGGUAAUCC